UACAGAGGUCUCAAGCGUUGUUCGGAUUCAUUGGGCGUAAAGGGUGUGUAGGUGGCGCCGUAAGUCGGGUGUGAAAUUUCGGAGCUUAACUUCGAAACUGCAUUCGAUACUGCCGUGCUUGAGGACUGGAGAGGAGACUGGAAUUUACGGUGUAGCGGUGAAAUGCGUAGAUAUCGUAAGGAAGACCAGUGGCGAAGGCGGGUCUCUGGACAGUUCCUGACGCUGAGGCACGAAGGCCAGGGGAGCAAACGGG
rnacentral:rRNA from 1 species